rnacentral:lncRNA from 1 species
GGAUUAUCCUGAUCAAGACUUUACUAAAUUAAAAUACAGUGAUAUAUCAACUUCAAUAUUCUAGAAGGAUCAAUCCCAUCUUGAUCCACACACAGACUUCGUAAGUACUUGACUAUACCCAAUAGCCUUUCGUUACUGCAUUAAAAAUCUAAGUAGUCUGGCAUGAAAGCAUAGUGAGUUGCUUGCAAGUCACUAUGGUGAUCUCA